GACAGAGGUGGCGAGCGUUGUUCGGAAUCACUGGGCUUAAAGGGCGCGUAGGUGGUAGUGCAAGUCUGAGGUGGAAUCCCAGGGCUUAACCCUGGAACUGCCUUGGAAACUGUAUUACUUGAGUCAGUGAGGGGAGGGUAGAAUUCCUGGUGUAGCGGUGAAAUGCGUAGAUAUCAGGAGGAAGGCCGGUGGCGAAGGCGGCCCUCUGGCGCUGAACUGACACUGAGGCGCGAAAGCGUGGGGAGCAAAC
rnacentral:rRNA from 1 species